rnacentral:rRNA from 1 species
GACGAAGGGGGCUAGCGUUGUUCGGAAUUACUGGGCGUAAAGCGAGUGUAGGUGGUUGUCCAAGUUGGAUGUGAAAGCCUUGAGCUCAACUCAAGAAAUGCAUUCAGGACUGGGCGGCUAGAGGACCGGAGAGGAUAGUGGAAUUCCCAGUGUAGUGGUGAAAUACGUAGAGAUUGGGAAGAACACCAGUGGCGAAGGCGGCUAUCUGGACGGUUUUCUGACACUAAGACUCGAAAGCGUGGGGAGCAAACAGG